rnacentral:rRNA from 1 species
UUCGUAGGGGGUUUGCUAAGUUUGAUGUGAAAUCCCGGGGCUUAACCCCGGAACUGCAUUGAAAACUGGCAGACUUGAGCAUCGGAGAGGAGAGCGGAAUUCCUGGAGUAGCGGUGGAAUGCGUAGAUAUCAGGAAGAACACCGAAAGCGAAGGCAGCUCUCUGGACUGAUACUGACACUGAGGUGCGAAAGCGUGGGUAGCGAACAGGAUUAGAUACCCUGGUAGUCC